CCUACGGGAGGCAGCAGUGGGGAAUAUUGGACAAUGGGGGGAACCCUGAUCCAGCGACGCCGCGUGAGUGAAGAAGUAUUUCGGUAUGUAAAGCUCUAUCAGCAGGGAAGAAAGACAUGACGGUCCCUGACUAAGAAGCCCCGGCUACCUACGUGCCAGCAGCCGCGGUAAUACGUAGGGGGUAAGCGUUAUCCGGAUUUCCUGGGUGUAAAGGGAGCGUAUGCGGUUACGCAAGUCUGAGGUAAAGGGCGGGGGCCCACCCCCCGGCCUGCUUUGGAAACGGUAUAACGGAGUGCAGGAGAGGUAAGUGGAAUUCCUAGUGUAGCGGUGAAAUGCGUAGAUAUUAGGAGGAACACCAGUGGCGAAGGCGGCUUACUGGACUGUAACUGACGUUGAGGCUCGAAAGCGUGGGGAGCAAACAGGAUUAGAUACCCGUGUAGUC
rnacentral:rRNA from 1 species